rnacentral:rRNA from 1 species
GAUGAACGCUGGCGGCGUGCCUAAUACAUGCAAGUCGAGCGAACGGACGAGAAGCUUGCUUCUCUGAUGUUAGCGGCGGACGGGUGAGUAACACGUGGAUAACCUACCUAUAAGACUGGGAUAACUUCGGGAAACCGGAGCUAAUACCGGAUAAUAUUUUGAACCGCAUGUUUCAAAAGUGAAAGACGGUCUUGCUGUCACUUAUAGAUGGAUCCGCGCUGCAUUAGCUAGUUGGUAAGGUAACGGCUUACCAAGGCAACGAUGCAUAGCCGACCUGAGAGGGUGAUCGGCCACACUGGAACUGAGACACGGUCCAGACUCCUACGGGAGGCAGCAGUAGGGAAUCUUCCGCAAAGGGCGAAAGCCUGACGGAGCAACGCCGCGUGAGUGAUGAAGGUCUUCGGAUCGUAAAACUCUGUUAUUAGGGAAGAACAUAUGUGUAAGUAACUGUGCACAUCUUGACGGUACCUAAUCAGAAAGCCACGGCUAACUACGUG